AACGAACGCUGGCGGCAUGCCUAACACAUGCAAGUCGAACGAGGCCUUCGGGUCUAGUGGCGCACGGGUGCGUAACGCGUGGGAACCUGCCCUUAGGUUCGGAAUAACUCCCCGAAAGGGGUGCUAAUACCGGAUAAUGUCUUCGGACCAAAGAUUUAUCGCCUUUGGAUGGGCCCGCGUUGGAUUAGCUAGUUGGUAGGGUAAAAGCCUACCAAGGCGACGAUCCAUAGCUGGUCUGAGAGGAUGAUCAGCCACACUGGGACUGAGACACGGCCCAGACUCCUACGGGAGGCAGCAGUGGGGAAUAUUGGACAAUGGGCGAAAGCCUGAUCCAGCAAUGCCGCGUGAGUGAUGAAGGCCUUAGGGUUGUAAAGCUCUUUUACCCGGGAUGAUAAUGACAGUAUCGGGAGAAUAAGCUCCGGCUAACUCCGUG
rnacentral:rRNA from 1 species